rnacentral:rRNA from 1 species
UACGUAUGGGGCAAGCGUUAUCCGGAUUUACUGGGUGUAAAGGGAGCGCAGGCGGCCUGGCAAGCCUGAUGUGAAAUACCGGGGCCCAACCCCGGGGCUGCAUUGGGAACUGCCAGGCUGGAGUGCCGGAGAGGCAGGCGGAAUUCCUAGUGUAGCGGUGAAAUGCGUAGAUAUUAGGAGGAACACCAGUGGCGAAGGCGGCCUGCUGGACGGUGACUGACGCUGAGGCUCGAAAGCGUGGGGAGCAAACGGG